rnacentral:rRNA from 1 species
UUGGAGGGCAAGUCUGGUGCCAGCAGCCGCGGUAAUUCCAGCUCCAAUAGCGUAUAUUAAAAUUGUUGCAGUUAAAAAGCUCGUAGUUGAAUUUCUGCUGCAUUGCAUUUUCUCCUAUACGAGUUUUUGCAUUGUGGCUUAUUUCGGUUAUAAAAUUUAUUUUAUUUCCGGAUGUUUACUUUGAGAAAAUUAGAGUGCUCAAAGCAGGCUUUUGCCUUGAAUAGUUUAGCAUGGAAUAAUAAAGUAGGACUUUGGUUCUAUUUUGUUGGUUUUAGGUACCAAAGUAAUGGUUAAUAGGAACAGUUGGGGGCAUUCGUAUUUAACUGUCAGAGGUGAAAUUCUUAGAUUUGUUAAAGACGAACUACUGCGAAAGCAUUUGCCAAGGAUGUUUUCAUUAAUCAAGAACGAAAGUUAGGGGAUCGAAGACGAUCAGAUACCGUCGUAGUCCUAAC